GAGAAGUAGCCUGCCCUUCCCUUCUGGUUCUCCUUGGCUCCUUAUCAAGGGGUGAACUGUGUCCCCCAAUCCUGCAAUUACAUGUUGGAGUCCCAGCUCCAGGGACCUGAGAACGUGACUGUGUUUGGAGAGGUGACCAGGUAACAUGAGUCAGCCUUCAUCCAACCUGCCCGGUGUCUUCACAGGAAGAGAUCAGGACACAGAGGGACAACGGGGUGAGGACGCAGGGUGAGGAGGGCCAUCUGCCCGCCGGGUAGAGAGGCCUCAGAAGCAGGCGGCCCUGCCCACGCCUGGAUCUCAGACCUCCAGCCUCCAGUACAUACAUUUCUGUUAGGUCCUCUCACUCUGGUGCUUCGUCAGGACAGCCCCAGAGAACCACCCACUUUCUGUGGGGGCCUCUGGUGGCUUUCAGACUCUGGGUGACACCAGGGCCACUUUGAGGGGUUGUAGAAGAUGCAGACUCCUGGGCCCUGACCGCAGAGAUCCUGACACAUGACCUCGGCCGGGAGAUACACCCAGAGGACGACACGGACACAUUCAGCUGCUCUUGCUGCCAUAGCUCUCCAGCACAGAGACCUGUGUUUAAUAACAUCACCCUCCAGUAGAAGAGAGGCAAGAUUUGGACAGCCCUCUGCCGGGGAGCUGUCUCAUCCUGAUAAAUGGAACAGCAUCCCGCCCACUGUGAAAAGUCCCAGUGUUAGAUUAAACAUAUCAAUCCUG